GUUUAAAAAUCAUGAUUCAGCCAUACAUAUGUCCCAUAAAUUCGUUUGAAAGAUGGACGCAAAACAGCCGAUGGCCUGCAAGUACUCCACAGAAGUGGUAAACAAAAACUUUCGAAUUUCAUAUUAUUUAUGUACUUAUUUCUUAUAUUA